rnacentral:rRNA from 1 species
GACGAACGCUGGCGGCGUGCCUAAUACAUGCAAGUAGAACGCUGAAGAGAGGAGCUUGCUCUUCUUGGAUGAGUUGCGAACGGGUGAGUAACGCGUAGGUAACCUGCCUUGUAGCGGGGGAUAACUAUUGGAAACGAUAGCUAAUACCGCAUAACAAUGGAUGACACAUGUCAUUUAUUUGAAAGGGGCAAUUGCUGCACUACAAGAUGGACCUGCGUUGUAUUAGCUAGUAGGUGAGGUAAUGGCUCACCUAGGCGACGAUACAUAGCAGACCUGAGAGGGCGAUCGGCCACACUGAGAGUGAGACACGGCCCAGACUCCCACGGGAGGGAGCAGUAGGGAAUCUGCGGCAAUGGGGGCAAACCUGACCGAGCAACGCCGCGUGAGUGAAGAAGGUUUUCGGAUCGUAAAGCUCUGUUGUAAGUCAAGAACGGGUGUGAGAGUGGAAAGUUCACACUGUGACGGUAGCUUACCAGAAAGGGACGGCUAACUACGUG